rnacentral:rRNA from 1 species
AUUGAACGCUGGCGGCAUGCUUUACACAUGCAAGUCGAACGGUAACAGGCCGCAAGGUGCUGACGAGUGUCGAACGGGUGAGUAAUGCAUCGGAACGUGCCCAGUCGUGGGGGAUAACGAAGCGAAAGCUGCGCGAAUACCGCAUACGAUCUAUGGAUGAAAGCGGGGGACCGUAAGGCCUCGCGCGAUUUGAGCGGCCGAUGUCAGAUUAGGUAGUUGGUGGGGUAAAGGCUCAGCAAGCCAACGAUCUGUAGUUGGUCUGAGAGGACGACCAGCCACAAUGGGACUGAGACACGGCACAGACUCCUACGGGAGGCAGCAGUGGGGAAUUUUGGACAAUGGGCGCAAGCCUGAUCCAGCAAUGCCGCGUGCAGGAAGAAGGCCUUCGGGUUGUAAACUGCUUUUGUACGGAACGAAACGGUCCUGGUUAAUACCUGGGGCUAAUGACGGUACCGUAAGAAUAAGCACCGGCUAACUACGUGCCAGCAGCCGCAGUAAUAC